UGCCAGCAGCCGCGGUAAUACGUAGGGUGCGAGCGUUGUUCGGAAUUACUGGGCGUAAAGGGCGUGAAGUCGGAUUGUCAAGCCGGAGGUGAAAGCCCGGGGCUCAACCCCGGAGGGUCUUUCGGAACUGACAGUCUUGAGAGGGUCAGGGGCCAGCGGAAUUCCUGGUGUAGAGGUGAAAUUCGUAGAGAUCAGGAGGAACACCGGCGGCGAAAGCGGCUCACUGGAUCGAUACUGACGCUGAGGUGCGAAAGUGUGGGGAGCAAACAGGAUUAGAUA
rnacentral:rRNA from 1 species